rnacentral:lncRNA from 1 species
GCCAAAAGAACUAUCUAUAUAUUUCAUGUUAUUUAGUUCUGGAUCUCUUAGACCCAAUGACAUUCACUAUUUGCUCAAAUAAUUUUUACAAAUACAUCACCAUGCAAAUGAUAAAGAAUUAAAUUUAAAUGGUAAUCAUCGAGAUUAGGUGCCCAUGUCGAGUACAACUUUUACACCAUUGCUGACUCAAAACAGUCACAACACCUUCCC